rnacentral:rRNA from 1 species
GACGAACGCUGGCGGCGUGCUUAACACAUGCAAGUCGGGCGGUAAGGCCCUUUCGGGGGUACACGAGCGGCGAACGGGUGAGUAACACGUGGGUGACCUGCCCUCAGCUCUGGGAUAAGCCCGGGAAACUGGGUCUAAUACUGGAUAUGACUCCAUGACGCAUGUUGUGGGGUGGAAAGCCUUGUGCGGCUGGGGAUGGGCCCGCGGCCUAUCAGCUUGUUGGUGGGGUGAGGCCUACCAAGGCGACGACGGGUAGCCGGCCUGAGGGGCGACCGGCCACACUGGGACUGAGACACGGCCCAGACUCCUACGGGAGGCAGCAGUGGGGAAUCUUGCGCAAUGGGCGAAAGCCUGACGCAGCGACGCCGCGUGAGGGAUGACGGCCUGGU